AUAUUGCGCAAUGGAGGGAACUCUGACGCAGCGACGCCGCGUGAGCGAUGAAGGUCUUNGGAUCGNANAGCUCUGUCCUUGGGGANGAAGGUCUUCGGACUUGACGGUACCUACGGAGGAAGCCCCGGCUAACUACGUGCCAGCAGCCGCGGUAAUACGUCGGGGGCAAGCGUUGUCCGGAAUUAUUGGGCGUAAAGGGUGGUUAGGCGGCCUUUUAAGUCAGAUGUGAAAGCCCACGGCUUAACCGUGAGACUGCAUUUGAAACUGGAGGGCUUGAGUAUCGGAGAGGGUAGUGGAAUUCCCAGUGUAGCGGUGGAAUGCGUAGAUAUUAGGAGGAACACCAGUGGCGAAGGCGACUCUCUGGACUGCAACUGACGCUGAGGCACGAAAGCGUGGGGAGCGAACA
rnacentral:rRNA from 1 species